UGGUGCAGAAUAAGGGGUGGGCAAGUCUGGUGUCAGCCGCCGCGGUAAUACCAGCACCCCGAGUAGUCGGGACGAUUAUUGGGCCUAAAGCAUCCGUAGCUUGUCCUGCAAGUCUUCCGUUAAAUCCACCUGCUCAACAGAUGGGCUGCGGAGGAUACUACAGGGCUAGGAGGCGGGAGAGGCAAGCGGUACUCAGUGGGUAGGGGUAAAAUCCUCUGAUCCACUGAAGACCACCAGUGGCGAAGGCGGCUUGCCAGAACGCGCUCGACGGUGAGGGAUGAAAGCUGGGGGAGCAAACCGGAUUAGAUACCCGGGUAGUCCCAGCUGUAAACGAUGCAGACUCGGUGAUGGGUUGGCUUCGCGCCAACCCAGUGCCGCAGGGAAGCCGUUAAGUCUGCCGCCUGGGGAGUACGGUCGCAAGACUGAAACUUAAAGGAAUUGGCGGGGGAGCACCACAAGGGGUGAAGCCUGCGGUUCAAUUGGAGUCAACGCCGGGAAUCUUACCGGGGGCGACAGCAGUGUGAAGGUCAAGCUGAAGACUUUACCAGACAAGCUGAGGGGAGGUGCAUGGCCGUCGCCAGCUCGUGCCGUGAGGGUGUCCUGUUAAGUCAGGUAACGAGCAAGAUCCCUGCCUCUAGGUGCUACCACCGUUCUCCGGAACGGAGGGGCUAAUUAGAGGGACCGCCUCCGCUGAGGCGGAGGAAGGAGGGGGCUACGGCAGGUCAGUAUGCCCCGAAACCCUCGGGCCACACGCGGGCUGCAAUGGUAAGGACAACGGGUACCGAUUCCGAAAGGAGGAGGAAUCCCACAAA
rnacentral:rRNA from 1 species